ACGAACGCUGGCGGCGUGCCUAAUACAUGCAAGUUGAGCGCUGAAGGUUGGUACUUGUACCAACUGGAUGAGCAGCGAACGGGUGAGUAACGCGUGGGGAAUCUGCCUUUGAGCGGGGGACAACAUUUGGAAACGAAUGCUAAUACCGCAUAAAAACUUUAAACACAAGUUUUAAGUUUGAAAGAUGCAAUUGCAUCACUCAAAGAUGAUCCCGCGUUGUAUUAGCUAGUUGGUGAGGUAAAGGCUCACCAAGGCGAUGAUACAUAGCCGACCUGAGAGGGUGAUCGGCCACAUUGGGACUGAGACACGGCCCAAACUCCUACGGGAGGAAGCAGUAGGGAAUCUUCGGCAAUGGACGAAAGUCUGACCGAGCAACGCCGCGUGAGUGAAGAAGGUUUUCGGAUCGUAAAACUCUGUUGGUAGAGAAGAACGUUGGUGAGAGUGGAAAGCUCAUCAAGUGACGGUAACUACCCAGAAAGGGACGGCUAACUACGUG
rnacentral:rRNA from 1 species